rnacentral:lncRNA from 1 species
CGGCGGGGUGGGAGGUACGGCCCUUUCCCCAGCGAUGCUCUGCCUCUCCUAACAUGGCGGCCUCCGUGAUCCCCACACAUCCUGUCUGGAGCGGAAGUGUGGCCCGUUGCCAUGACGGCGACGUUAGGCCGCCGAGUGGGAAACGUGUGAGCGUCGCGGGAAGCAAGGGAGCGAGCUGCAGGACAGGCAGGGCAAGGCAGGCCCGGCGGGGACCGGUCGAUGACGGACGGAGGAUUCCCGGCCCCAGCGUGCUCGGAGGCAGGCGGCCAGAAGGCGAGAAGCUCAGCCCCGCGCCUGAGUGGCACCGGGACCGGGGAGGAGCCGACGACUCAGCCGGCUUGCCUUGCCUAGCCAGCGAGUUCAUUCCGCCGCGCUCCUCCUGAGCGGCUGGGGAGAGAGACGGCGAGGGGGAGGCGCGGGCAGGGAGCCUCGGCUGACAAAGGGCUGCGGACGGCUCCAAGCAAAACGGCUCGGACGGAGAAGACGGGGAGGAGGAGGCAGCCCGCGCUGCCUUCCCCGGGCGGGGCUUUUUCUCGGAGACUCGCGCAGUCCGUGGAGGAGCGCGAGCAGCUGAGGCUGAGGCUGCAGGGAGAGAGCUCCGCGAGGACGUCCGCCCAGAUGACGGCGCGGUGAAGAAGUGCGCGGAUUUUGUGCGCUGCUGCCCGGGCCGGCGGUUUUCAGCUGUGCUCGGUCGGGAGGACUCCGCCGGGGUUUGUUCCCUCUGACGCACCUCGGGCACCUUGUCUUGGCACUGGCACGGCACGGUGUGGCAGCUGCCUUCGCUGCCUGCCGGGGUUGGUUGGUUUGGUUAGAGGCAGCGAUAGGCUGGGUGUGAUCUGGACAACGAGACCUGUGUGACGACCUGACUGCUGUGAAAUGCUCGCCGGAGCGGCACCCGGACGUCCACUUGCUGCACCUUGAGCGGGAAACACGCAGAGGCCGAGGCGCCGUGCUGACUUGCCGCCUGCGAAUCUCUUCCCCGUAACAAGGUCCGUGCCAGGAAAGUGCAAAGAGUGUGAAUUGACACUUCAGGAUUAUCCUCGAUAGGAAGUUUCUCAGGCUGCGCUUUGAACGCCUCGGGCUGCGGAGAAAACNGCUGGUGAGGCUUCCCAAGGCUUCUGAUUGAGCUUCUCCGCUCCUGAGCCAAUUUAAGUAGGAGACAGGAAUCUCCCUCAGGCAGCAAAGAGACCCUUUGACUGCCCUUCNCCAAGCCCCGUUCCAGCUGGUAAGGAUCGUUUCUCCUCUCACAACUUGCCUUUUGGAGAACGAAGGGAAAGACGGUGAGGUUCCAGCCGGCAGUUCGCCGUGUGCCUCUGAAGUCGCUCCUUGCCUGGUCGAGAGGCUUUUCGUUCUGAGAGCUCUGGGCCUCCGGACUCAGCCCGC